GGGAUCAUAAAUUGGAUUUCCAGUGGCAUUUACAGCAACCAAUGAUGCGGCAGCAAUGGCUAGACCUGUAACAGCAGCACCAUCCUCUGUCAUGACAGCUACAGCUGUAGGAUCAUGACCACGCCAAAUGUAAUCUCUCACUGUCAUUCCUUCAGCAGCAGCUCCUUUUCUGACAGAUUGAAUAGCCACAACGAGAGAAAUACCCUCUAUAAUGAAUGAGCCACCAAUCACCAGUGCUGCAUAUCCAAUAUUUGUAGGUUGCUCAGUAGUCCACAAGUUUUGUACUCCGUGAACUAUAGUAGCACCACAGCCAAGACAAAAGAUACCAACAGCAGAUAUCAAAGACCAGACAAAUCUUUCCUUGGAGUAGCCGUAUGGGUGGAUAGCAUCUGGUGCACGUCUGGAGCUACUUAAACCAUAAGCAAGAAGCGCCUGAUUUGCGAAAUCCGCAACUGAAUGCACAACUUCAGC
rnacentral:misc_RNA from 1 species